GGAAGACAAGCGUUGACCAUCUGUUCUCUCCCUCCUUUCCAUCCUCCCUUCCUUUUCCCUUUCCUUCUUUGCCCUUAUUUCUAAAAGUCUAAUUAGAAACAGUUUUAUUGAAACAGGGGAGAAAGUGAUGGCUCCCACCCCACUUCAGAAACAACCUUGCUUGGUGAUUAGUCAUUCAGUUCCUGUCGAUUUACUACUGGCAAAAAGGACAUUUUAAUUAUAAAGAAAGACAAUAGAAAAACUGCAUUUUCUGCAACAUAUCUUUCUGGAACCAAUGAAGCCCCAGGUAGAACUCUAGGAGUCAAAUGAGAACAGAGUAUAGCAGACUUUCAUCCUGAUGCAACUUUAAAAGACAAGGGACUAAAACGUGCAUUUAUUAGAGGAAAGCUGUA